AUCCCAAGUGCUGGUUCGUAAGAGUCAGCUGUUUCUUUGUCUAAAAAACAUAGAGAGUAAGAGCUGGGUAAGACGGGUGCCAGCCGCCGCGGUAAUACCUGCAGCUCAAGUGGUGGCCGCUAUUAUUGGGCCUAAAACGUCCGUAGCCCGUUUAGUAAAUGCCUGGGUAAAUUGUAUAGCUUAACUAUAUGAAUUCCGGGUAGACUGCUAAACUUGGGACCGGGAGAAGCUAGAGGUACUCCUGGGGUAGAGGUGAAAUUCUGUAAUCCUAGGGGGACCACCAGUGGCGAAGGCGUCUGGCUAGAACGGGUCUGACGGUGAGGGACGAAGCCCUGGGGCGCAAACCGGAUUAGAUACCCGGGUAGUCCAGGGUGUAAACGCUGCUUGCUUGAUGUUAGUCGGGCUCCGAGCCCGACUAGUGUCGGAGAGAAGUUGUUAAGCAAGCUGCCUGGGAAGUACGGUCGCAAGACUGAAACUUAAAGGAAUUGGCGGGGGAGCAG
rnacentral:rRNA from 1 species